rnacentral:rRNA from 1 species
AGUGGCGAACGGGUGCGUAACGCGUAUGCAACCUACCUUCUUCUAAGGAAUAGCCCAGAGAAAUUUGGAUUAAUACCUUAUGAUAAUAUUUAUUCGCAUGUUUAAAUAUUUAAAACUCCGGUGGAAGAAGAUGGGCAUGCGUAACAUUAGUUUGUUGGUGAGGUAAUGGCUCACCAAGACUACGAUGUUUAGGGGGUCUGAGAGGAUGAUCCCCCACACUGGUACUGAGACACGGACCAGACUCCUACGGGAGGCAGCAGUGAGGAAUAUUGGUCAAUGGACGAAAGUCUGAACCAGCCAUGCCGCGUGAAGGAUGACGGCCCUACGGGUUGUAAACUUCUUUUGUAUAGGAAGAAACCCCUCUACGUGUAGAGGGUUGACGGUACUAUUCGAAUAAGCACCGGCUAACUCCGUGCCAGCAGCCGCGGUAAUACGGAGGGUGCGAGCGUUAUCCGGAAUUAUUGGGUUUAAAGGGUGCGUAGGCGGAAAUUUAAGUCAGUGGUGAAAGCCUGCAGCUUAACUGUAGAAUUGCCAUUGAUACUGGAUUUCUUGAAUCUAAUAGAAGUAGGCGGAAUAUGACAUGUAGCGGUGAAAUGCUUAGAUAUGUCAUAGAACACCGAUAGCGAAGGCAGCUUACUAUGUUAGUAUUGACGCUAAUGCACGAAAGCGUGGGGAGCGAACAGGAUUAGAUACCCUGGUAGUCCACGCCGUAAACGAUGAUUACUCGCUAUUGGCGAUACACUGUCAGUGGCUAAGCGAAAGUGAUAAGUAUCC